AAGACUACACUUUCAGUGAUCAUGUCUAUAGUUCGUGACUAGAGAAGUUUCUCUGACUGUAUAGAGUACUGGAAACCAAGAGGAGGAGGUGUAGUGUUCUCUCCUGUGGUGUGGCUUUGCUGAAAUUGCCACCUGCCAUCGGUGAUUGUUCUUUCUCUCCUUCAGGACAGUUGGAGGGAGAGGACACUGUCUGAAUGGC
rnacentral:snoRNA from 1 species